CUAGACGAACUGCCGUUGACAAAACGGAGGAAAGGUGGGGAUGACGUCAAAUCAUCAUGCCCCUUAUGUUCUGGGCUACACACGUGCUACAAUGGCCGGUACAGACGGAGGCGAAGCCGCGAGGCGGAGCAAAUCCGAAAAAGCCGGUCUCAGUUCGGAUUGCAGGCUGCAAUUCGCCUGCAUGAAGUCGGAAUCGCUAGUAAUCGCAGGUCAGCAUACUGCGGUCGAAUACGUUCCCGGCCUU
rnacentral:rRNA from 1 species